rnacentral:rRNA from 1 species
AGCUCGUAGGCGGUUUGUCGCGUCUGCUGUGAAAUCCCGAGGCUCAACCUCGGGCCUGCAGUGGGUACGGGCAGACUAGAGUGCGGUAGGGGAGAUUGGAAUUCCUGGUGUAGCGGUGGAAUGCGCAGAUAUCAGGAGGAACACCGAUGGCGAAGGCAGAUCUCUGGGCCGUAACUGACGCUGAGGAGCGAAAGGGUGGGGAGCAAACAGGCUUAGAUACCCUGGUAGUCCACCCCGUAAACGUUGGGAACUAGUUGUGGGGACCAUUCCACGGUUUCCGUGACGCAGCUAACGCAUUAAGUUCCCCGCCUGGGGAGUACGGCCGCAAGGCUAAAACUCAAAGGAAUUGACGGGGACCCGCACAAGCGGCGGAGCAUGCGGAUUAAUUCGAUGCAACGCGAAGAACCUUACCAAGGCUUGACAUAUACGAGAACGGGCCAGAAAUGGUCAACUCUUUGGACACUCGUAAACAGGUGGUGCAUGGUUGUCGUCAGCUCGUGUCGUGAGAUGUUGGGUUAAGUCCCGCAACGAGCGCAACCCUCGUUCUAUGUUGCCAGCACGUAAUGGUGGGAACUCAUGGGAUACUGCCGGGGUCAACUCGGAGGAAGGUGGGGAUGACGUCAAAUCAUCAUGCCCCUUAUGUCUUGGGCUUCACGCAUGCUACAAUGGCCGGUACAAAGGGCUGCAAUACCGUGAGGUGGAGCGAAUCCCAAAAAGCCGGUCCCAGUUCGGAUUGAGGUCUGCAACUCGACCUCAUGAAGUCGGAGUCGCUAGUAAUCGCAGAUCAGCAACGCUGCGGUGAAUACGUUCCCGGGUCUUGUACACACCGCCCGUCAAGUCAUGAAAGUCGGUAACACCUGAAGCCGGUGGCCUAACCCUUGUGGAGGGAGCCGUCGAAGGUGGGAUCGGUAAUUAGGACGAAGUCGUA